UCUAAGCAGAGCCCUUGAAUGGUAAAGCCGCGAAUGGCUCAUUACAACAGCCACAGUUUAUUGGCUCUCCAUUUACUUGGAUAACUGAGCUAAUUGUUGAGCUCAUACACGCACCAAAGCUUCGACCUCACGGGAGGAGCGCAUUUAUUAGAACAAAACCAAUCGGACUUCGGUCCGUCCAUUGGUGAAUAUAAAUAACUUAGCCGAUCGCAUGGUCUCGCACCGGCGACUCACCUUUCAAAUGUCUGCCUUAUCACCUUUCGAUGGUAGUUUAUACGCCUACCAUGGGUUUUACGGGUAACGGAGAAUAAGGGUUCGACUCCGGAGAGGGAGCCUGAGAAACGGCUACCACAUCCAAGGAAGGCAGCAGGCACGCAAAUUACCCACUCCCGGCACGGGGAGGUAGUGACGAAAAAUAACGAGGCGGUUCUAUAUGAGGCCCGCCAUCGGAAUGGGUACAAUCUAAA
rnacentral:rRNA from 1 species